CAGGGAAUUUUGCACAAUGGACGAAAGUCUGAUGCAGCGACGCCGCGUGGGGGAUGAAUGCCUUCGGGUUGUAAACCCCUUUCAGGAGGGACGAAGCGAAAGUGACGGUACCUCCAGAAGAAGUCCCGGCCAACUACGUGCCAGCAGCCGCGGUAAUACGUAGGGGGCGAACGUUGUCCGGAUUUAUUGGGCGUAAAGAGCUCGUAGGCGGCUCAGCAAGUCGGCCGUGAAAACCCGGGGCUCAACCCCGGGACGCCGGUCGAAACUGCUGUGGCUAGGGUUCGGUAGAGGAGAGUGGAAUUCCCGGUGUAGCGGUGAAAUGCGCAGAUAUCGGGAGGAACACCAGUAGCGAAGGCGGCUCUCUGGGCCGAUACCGACGCUGAGGAGCGAAAGCUAGGGGAGCAAACAGGAUUAGAUACCCUGGUAGUCCUAGCCGUAAACGUUGGGCACUAGGUGUGGCGGACUCAUUGACGUCUGCCGUGCCGCAGCUAACGCAUUAAGUGCCCCGCCUGGGGA
rnacentral:rRNA from 1 species